CACGGGAGUCCGGUGUGCCGGGCUGAGAGGAAGCUCAUCCAAGCUUCGACCGUCGAACCUGAUCCGGAUCAUGCCGGCGCAGGGAGGCAUCUCGGGGUUCGG
rnacentral:ncRNA from 1 species